UGUGAUUUGAUUAAAAUAAUAAUUAAGUUGAAUAUGUAUGAGUACAAUUGGUAAUAUGGGUAUAAGUAAUCACUAAAUAACUUUCUGAAAUGUAUUUCUGAGUAAUGAACUGUAAAGGUAACAACAAUGUAAUGAUUAUGUAUGAUGAUUUAUAAUAAGUGAAAGAUGUGAUUAAUUCUUAAUGAAUAUCAAAGCAGUGAUGGUUUGAAAUUGAUUCAAAUGGUUUUAAUACAGGUUGAAUGUGGUUAAUGAUUUGUAACAGAUAAUAUAGUGAGUUAUAGAAAAGAGAGGAAUUCAGUACGGUAAAGUCAGCAUGAUGGGUAAGGCCCUGCUGUCAGGAUAUGUCCCAAGUUGGGGAAAGAUGGGACUUUCCACGAGACUUCAGUUCAGAAAAAAAAACACUUAGCAGAAGUUCAGAAAAAAAAACAAAAAACACGUAGACCAAGCUCCCCAUACACACAUAUGGGUGAAAAGAGUAUAAAGGAGGACUGAAAAGAGGAAGCAACCAUUCUUAGUCCGCGGCGCUGGAGACGAGUCAACACGGAGAAGCAGAUUGAGGAACAGCAGAGGACCGCACCUCGGAGCCACGGGGAAGUUGAGACUUCGCGCCGCUAAGAAGGGACAAGAUCCUAUCGCCCCAGCCCUGGUUCCUGAUUCGACCGUCGGCCCUGCCUCAACCCAACGAUCUCAAACUCUGCAACAGACUUGGAGAAAAGACAAAGAUCCCUGAGGGAGAAAGAGCGGGGUUUUCGAAGGAUUUGGACCCGUUCUGCUUUGCUUCCAUUCUAAGGAGGAUUUUUCCACACAAGGACAAAGACUCUGACCAAGGAUUCUGGAUGUUUCUGUUGCCAAGAUCCACCAUCAACUGGGUCCAAUCACCUGAUCACGCGCCUCCCUAACGGCGGCGGUCUCAUCUCCUCCACCCUUCAUAAAGUACGGCUUGAUGUGUGCAACUGCUCCUCACCUGAGCUUCCAUCACCUCCACCCAGUCUCCACCUUCGCUCAGCAUACCUUUAAUCUUAUGUUUGUAUUAUGACUUUGUAACCUAACAAUAUGUUUCUGUAUGGCCUCGCUUUAUUAAAAAAAAAAAAAACAAAACCAACAGUUGAUUCUGACUG